GGGGUCUGGCUAUGUUGCCCAGGCUGGUCUGGAACUCCUGGCCUCAAGCCUCCACCUCCCAAGGUGGUGGGAUUACAGGCGUGAGCCAUUGCACCCAGCCCUAACGUUUCAAAGCCAGUCGGUGCCAGAGCUGGGACUGGGCCCAGGCUGAGCCUGAGGGUGCUCCCACCCCGGUGUGGUGACUCUGGGCCGACCAGAAGCUCCUGUGUAGGAGAUGCUGGACCAGGUCGGGGGAUGGUUAGGUCCUCCCAGCAAGGUGGCUGAGCUGAGGGCAGAGGUGGGGUCCCCAGCCUCUCUCCAGCCAUCAGUGCCUAUGAUGACUCUUCUUACUCACUAAGGUGUGAUCUUGGCCAGGACACAUCUCUUCUCCCAGCCGGUUUCCUCACUUCUACAGAGGGUGCCACCAUCUCGGGGUGUGAGUGAGGGGGUGAAUCUGGGGCCUGGCAGAUGGCAGGCACUUUGCGCCUGUCAUAGAUGCAAGCUCAGAUGGUUUCACCACCCCUCAUCUGAACUCUCAGAGUUUGACAAGUCUGUGUUUGGGAGAGGAAGCAUGGGCCUUAAACCUUAAGCGAGGGUCCUCCCUGGCAAGGCUGCGGACAGCACCUGGGAACCAAAUACAUCUUGGAACUUGCGAAAACUCACACUGACGGGGACAAGGAGAGGGAGAAUUUACCAUCAGAGUGGAGACCUGUUACAAGCAUACAGUGGACACUGGAUUUUAAAGACACUUCGGAACAGAGAAAGAGAAAAUGUUUCCAAAAUCUUGGAGGACUGGAAAAAA